rnacentral:rRNA from 1 species
GUACACGCUGUGACUAGCAUAUCAAUAAGCGGAGGAAAAGAAACUAACAAGGAUUCCCUCAGUAACGGCGAGUGAAGCGGGAAGAGCUCAAAUUUGAAAUCUUCAAGGUUUUACCUUGACGAAUUGUAGUUUAAAGAAGUGUUUUCUGCUGAAGUUUUGGUAAAAGUUCUUUGGAAUAGGACAUCAUAGAGGGUGAGAAUCCCGUAUUUGACCAUUAUUUUCAGCUUUGUGAUACACUUUCAAAGAGUCGGAUUGUUUGGGAAUGCAGUCCAAAAUGGGUGGUAAAUUUCAUCUAAAGCUAAAUAUUGGCGAGAGACCGAUAGCGAACAAGUACCGUGAGGGAAAGAUGAAAAGAACUUUGAAAAGAGAGUUAAACAGUACGUGAAAUUGUCAAAAGGGAAGCGUUUGACACCAGUGUUGUUUUCUCGAAAAUCAAUUAAAAAUGGCUCGAUUUUGUAUUGCUGAGACCUUAAAAGCUCACUGUACAUUUUUCGUGUCUUUUUUAAUGCACUUUUCGUUUAACAAGUCAACAUCAGUUUCUUUUGUUGUAAAAGGGUCAUUGGAAGGUGGCUUUCUUUUCGGAGAAAGUGUUUAUAGCCUUUGGCCUCUGCAAUCGAAGAGACUGAGGUCUGCAGCGUAGACUCUUCGGGGUUAGAUACAUUUGUGCUAAGUUAUAGCUUUUUAUAGACAACUUGUUGACUAUAAUUAGUCUUGUAGCUUACUCGCUUAUGCUAUUUUACCUACGCUUAGGAUGUUGAGUAGCGACAUACGCAC